GAUGAACGCUGGCGGCGUGCUUAACACAUGCAAGUCGAACGGAAAGGCGCUGCUCUUGCGGGGUGCUCGAGUGGCGCACGGGUGUGUAACACGUGAGUAUCCUGCCCUUGACUUUGUGAUAACUCCAGGGAACUGGGGCUAAUACAGGAUAGGAGCUCCUGCUGCAUGGGGGGGGUUGGAAAGUUUCGGCGGUUGGGGAUGGACUCGCGGCUUAUGAGCUAGUUGGUCGAGUAGUGGCUUACGAAGGCUUCGACGGAUAGCCGGCCUGGGAGGGGGACCGGCCACAAGGGGACUGCGGGACGCCGCAGUCGGCAACGUGAGGCAGUGGGGGGAAAUAUUACACAGUGAGCGGGAGCCAGAUGCAACGGCGCCGGGUUCGUAAAGCCCGCCUUCGAGGUAUGAACCGCUUUGGCCUGUGACAAAGCGUGAGUGACGGUACUGGAUAAAGAAGCACCGGCUAACUACGUG
rnacentral:rRNA from 1 species